GAGCCGAGCCAGCCCCUCCCCUGCACAGCACCCCUCACCCCCACUGGGGCAGGCUGCCUGUUCAGACACCCUUGGUGCCCCCACACGGGUCUUUGGGGGUUUGGGGCACUGGCUGUUAGGCAGUGCCGUGGGGGGCGCCCCUCAUCUGUCCUGGACUCACUACGCCAUACGUACCUACCAGGACAGGUCUGGGCAUGUUGCCUGGGAGCCAGCUUAUCCUCUGGCUCUGCGCCCGUUCAGUGAGAGCCCCAGCGGUUGGCUCCCACGUGUCCCCCUCCCGGGCAGGCCUGGGACCUUCCUGUUCAGUAGCCCCUGCCCUGCCUUCCAGCCCCCCUGCUCCGCAGCGCUUCCCCAGGCCAGGAGCUAGCUGGUCCUGGUUCACAACCAGCACCACAUCUAGCCGCCUGCGACUGCCCUGCCCCAAUGGGCCAGGAACCCCGCUUACAGCAGGUUGGCUGCCGGUGUGAGAUCGAAGGGGCAUCGAAUGACACCUUAAUCCCGCUGCCAGUGCACCUGGGGGGAUGAAUCCUUCCGCCCCCAGGACAAAGGGGCGUGUGUGUAAACUGAGCCCCACACCUGGUUCAGAAAAGUGUUACAUUUCCCACGUUGCUCCUUCCACCCUACACCUCCCCUGAGUGCUCUGCAACCACCCCAGUGGGGCAUGUAAGGCAGGGACCAACCAGCUGUAGCUGGUCCCAAGGCCCUCAUGCUCUCUCUUUCCCAGGCUGGGCUGGAGUGGGGGUGCAGAGGAGUCAGGGGAGGGGGCUGGUCCCAGGACUGUGACAGUCUCUCCCCGAGGCCGGGAUGUGUGCGGGGGGUGUUGCAGAGGAAUGGGGAGAGGUGGGAGGGCUGGUCCCCGAGCUGUGACAGUCUCUCCCCGAGGCCAGGAUGUGUGCGGGGGGUGUUGCAGAGGAAUGGGGAGAGGUGGGAGGGCUGGUCCCAGGACUGUGACAGUCUCUCCCCGAGGCCGGGAUGUGUGCGGGGGGUGUUGCAGAGGAAUGGGGAGAGGUGGGAGGGCUGGUCCCCGAGCUGUGACAGUCUCUCCCCGAGGCCAGGAUGUGUGCGGGGGGUGUUGCAGAGGAAUGGGGAGAGGUGGGAGGGCUGGUCCCCGAGCUGUGACAGUCUCUCCCCGAGGCCAGGAUGUGUGCGGGGGGUGUUGCAGAGGAAUGGGGAGAGGUGGGAGGGCUGGUCCCAGGACUGUGACAGUCUCUCCCCGAGGCCGGGAUGUGUGCGGGGGGUGUUGCAGAGGAAUGGGGAGAGGUGGGAGGGCUGGUCCCCGAGCUGUGACAGUCUCUCCCCGAGGCCGGGAUGUGUGCGGGGGGUGUUGCAGAGGUAUGGGGAGAGGUGGGAGGGCUGGUCCCCGAGCUGUGACAGUCUCU